ACGGGAGGCAGCAGUGGGGAAUAUUGCACAAUGGGCGCAAGCCUGAUGCAGCAACGCCGCGUGAGGGAAGACGGUCUUCGGAUUGUAAACCUUUGUCUUUGGUGAAGAAGAAAGUGACGGUAGCCAAGGAGGAAGCCACGGCUAACUACGUGCCAGCAGCCGCGGUAAUACGGAGGAUCCGAGCGUUAUCCGGAUUUAUUGGGUUUAAAGGGUGCGCAGGCGGCUUUUUAAGUCAGUGGUUAAAUCGUGACGCUCAACGUCAUCACGCCAUUGAUACUGGAGAGCUUGAUUGCGGUCGAGGUUUGCGGAAUUCGUUGUGUAGCGGUGAAAUGCAUAGAUAUGACGAAGAACACCGAUUGCGUAGGCAGCAGACCAGGCCGUAAAUGACGCUCAUGCACGAAAGUGCGGGGAUCGAACAGGAUUAGAUACCCUGGUA
rnacentral:rRNA from 1 species